UACAUAACUUAUGUGAGCAUAUGUAUUAUGUCAAAAACACAUCAUUUACCACUUUCAAACCUCUAUACAAGACAAAUUAUACAUCCAAAAUGGGCUACUUUCAUGGCCGAUUAUACAUCAUCAUUAACAUUUCUCAUUGCCAAAUCAUAUAACCAACAUCACAAACCUAUUUAACAUGAAACAUACCUCCAAAUUAAGCUUAUAACAUGACCGAAUAUAUUUAUACCAACAUUAGUAUCAUGAUCAAGCCAUUUUCGCAUGGCUAUAUACAUAUAUACAAUUUUCAAAACCAAACUUAUCAAAACAAGCCUAUACAUGCCACAUAACCAAAAACUCAAAGCUUAUAUUUAUCGAAACGAUAACCGGAUAGUGUGAUGAGGUCUCCUAUGACUUUCAACCCGAGCAAGUAUCUGAAACUCUAUAAACAUAGAAAGAAAACACACAGAGUAAGCUUAGAAAGCUUAGUAAGCCAUAAGCAAAUAAAUCAUCUCAAUGAUAUUUAUAAUUCAAUUUAACUAGGCAGAAUUUAGCAAAUCUCAACCACAUAUACAUUCAUCAUACUCGUAAAUUCUUAUGACCACAUUAAGUAACUUCACUUAUCUUAUUUAUCAAUGAACAUAUAAACCAUGCUUUCAAAUUCGAAUAGCAAACGUUAGCUUAAUCAUAUAAAUUAAAUUUGCACAUAUUAAUUACAUAACCAACCAGAACAAGUCAUGCUUUACUAGCCAUUUCACAUAUAUGCUAACCAUGCAUCAUAACACCACCAUCUCGAUAUCAAUUAUCUAAUCCAAAUUUCAAACCAAAUUAGCAUAACUCAACACCAUGUUUCAUGUUUCAUAAUUCCCAUGUUCGAACAUAUGACGACAAUUUCAUAUAAUGAGCAUAUGUAACACAACGUUCAUUUGUAUACAUUCAUUUCAUUCAUUAUCAUAUAUUUCACAUAUCGUCAUUUUAAACAUACUCACCUUUCAAUUUUUGAAUAACAUAUACACUUCGUAUGUACCUGAAUCGGAUAUACUUUCACAUAGUCAUCCAUUUCUCAAUAUUACCUGUUGAACCAUUCGAAAUCAAUAAGGAUACUCGGAUAGCUCGGAAAGCUCAUACAGCGCCAUAUCCCAGAUAUGGUCUUACAUGUUAUCACAUAUCGAUGCCACUGUCCCAGACAGGGUCUUACACGAAAUCAUAUACGAUACCGAUGUCCCAGAUAUAUCUUACACGUAAAUCACAAAUCGAUGCCAACAUCCCUAACGUGGUCUUACACGAUGACACAUCUCGGAAUCCUAUGUCAUGACAUAUAUAUCCUAUACUAUUCCUAUAGUUCGUACGGGGCUUUCAGACGUCAUAAUUCAAUCAAUUCUAGCUCGAAACACGUCAUUCCAUGCUCAAUUCAAUUCAGCAAUAUGUAUAUAAAUACAAUUCAAUUCGGUAAUAUAUAAAACAUAUACAUUUGAAUUCAAGAGCAUUUAUUCACUUAUGAACUUACCUCGUACGGACACGAACGGACCGGAACGACUAUUCAAUAACUUUCGACUUCCCCCGAUCCAAUUCUAAUUUCUUCCUUUCUUGAUCUAAAUUAAUACAAAAUUUAGUUAUUUAAUCACUAAUUCACUAAAUUUAACACAAUUUACACAUUAGGGUAAUUUUACACUUUUGCCACUAUACUUUCACAUUUUUUCAAUUUAGUCCUUAUCACAUAAAAUCACAAUUUCAUGAAAUUAAACACAAAUCCAAGCUAGCCGAAUGUUAUUAUUUCCAUAACAGCCCAUAUUUUCAUUUAUUCACACUUUUACCACACGAUUUAUUAUUUUUCUCCAAAAUUGACAUUUUUACUCAAAAUCACUUUACCAAACAUGUAAAACUAUCAUCAAAAUUUCAUAUUUAAUCAUCAAACAUCAAUUAACACAUGUAUUCAACAAUGGCAACUAUCAGAAUCUUUAACAGUUUUGAAAUCGGAGGUACGGGCUAGCUAGAUUACGAAAUAAUGAUCUCAAAAAUAUAAAAAUCAUUAAAAAUCGAGCAAAGAACUUACCUUGAUCAAAGAUACAAGUGCCGAAUGCAUGAGAGCUCAAAAAUGGUGUUUUCUUUCUUUAGAAAUUCGACAUUCACCAAAAAG
rnacentral:lncRNA from 1 species